rnacentral:misc_RNA from 1 species
UUGAAAACUAUAAGGAAAAUCAACCGGAGAUCAAAAACAAGAUCAUGGACACAAAAAAAGGAAUAACAAGAAGAAAGUUAUUGACAUAGGGAUUCUAAAGAACCUAUUAAGAGGGCUCAAUGUGAGCUAAACGAUUAAAAAAAAGGCAUUUAUAUAUAUAUCAAUAUAGAAGCUAUAAUUUGUAUUUCAUCUGCUAGCUAUUAAGAGCUGUAAAACGUACAAAAGUUCCAUUUAAUAUGUACUCAUUAUUUAGGGUUAACCUAUGAGUAUCA